CCUACGGGGGGCAGCAGUGGGGAAUAUUGCGCAAUGGGCGAAAGCCUGACGCAGCGACGCCGCGUGUGGGAUGAAGGUCUUCGGAUCGUAAACCUCUGUCAGCAGGGAAGAACGGUCACUGUGCUAAUCAGCAGUGAAUUGACGGUACCUGCAAAGGAAGCACCGGCUAACUCCGUGCCAGCAGCCGCGGUAAUACGGAGGGUGCGAGCGUUAAUCGGAAUUACUGGGUGUAAAGCGCUCGUAGGCGGUAUGUCAAGUCAAGGGUGAAAUCCCCGCGCUCAACGUGGGAACUGCCUUUGAAACUGGCAAACUGGAGUGUGUGAGAGGAUAGUGGAAUUCCAGGUGUAGGAGUGAAAUGCGUAGAUAUCUGGAGGAACAUCAGUGGCGAAGGCGACUAUCUGGCACAUAACUGACGCUGAGGAGCGAAAGCGUGGGUAGCAAACAGGAUUAGAUACCCCUGUAGUC
rnacentral:rRNA from 1 species